rnacentral:rRNA from 1 species
AUUGAACGCCGGCGGCAGGCCUAACACAUGCAAGUCGAACGAGUGGCGGACGGGUGAGUAAUGUCUGGGAAACUGCCCGAUGGCGGGGGAUAACUACUGGAAACGGUAGCUAAUACCGCAUACCCUCGGAUGUGCCCAGAUGGGAUUAGCUAGUAGGUGGGGUAAUGGCUCACCUAGGCGACGAUCCCUAGCUGGUCUGAGAGGAUGACCAGCCACACUGGAACUGAGACACGGUCCAGACUCCUACGGGAGGCAGCAGUGGGGAAUAUUGCACAAUGGGCGCAAGCCUGAUGCAGCCAUGCCGCAUGUAUGAAGAAGGCCUUCGGGUUGUAAAGUACUUUCAGCGAGGAGGCGUUACUCGCAGAAGAAACCCCGGCUAACUCCGUGCCAGCGGCCGCGGUGAUUC